rnacentral:misc_RNA from 1 species
GAUGAAGAACGCAGCGAAAUGCGAUAAGUAGUGUGAAUUGCAGAAUUCAGUGAAUCAUCGAAUCUUUGAACGCACAUUGCGCCCCUUGGUAUUCCAUGGGGCAUGCCUGUUCGAGCGUCAUCUACACCCUCAAGCUCUGCUUGGUGUUGGGCGUCUGUCCCGCCUCUGCGCGCGGACUCGCCCCAAAUUCAUUGGCAGCGGUCCUUGCCUCCUCUCGCGCAGCACAUUGCGCUUCUCGAGGUGCGCGGCCCGCGUCCACGAAGCAACAUUACCGUCUUUGACCUCGGAUCAGGUAGGGAUACCCGCUGAACUUAAGCAUAUCAAUAAGCGGAGA